ACAAACUUGGUCAUUUAGAGGAAGUAAAAGUCGUAACAAGGUUUCCGUAGGUGAACCUGCGGAAGGAUCAUUAAAAGGAACGCUGGUUCAGCCAGCAUCCUCCAACCCAGUGUGUACCCGCCUUGUUGCCUCGGCGUGCCCGCGUCGUCCGCGGCGCUGCCGGCCCCCGGCUGGAUAGCGCACGCCAGAGGAAUGUUAAACCCCAGCUUCAACGAGUGACGUCUGAGCUUUGAAUCAAAUACGUUAAAACUUUCAACAACGGAUCUCUUGGUUCUGGCAUCGAUGAAGAACGCAGC
rnacentral:misc_RNA from 1 species